rnacentral:rRNA from 1 species
GUUGAACGCUGGCGGCGUGCCUAAUACAUGCAAGUCGAGCGAACAGACGAGGAGCUUGCUCCUCUGACGUUAGCGGCGGACGGGUGAGUAACACGUGGAUAACCUACCUAUAAGACUGGGAUAACUUCGGGAAACCGGAGCUAAUACCGGAUAAUAUAUUGAACCGCAUGGUUCAAUAGUGAAAGACGGUUUUGCUGUCACUUAUAGAUGGAUCCGCGCCGCAUUAGCUAGUUGGUAAGGUAACGGCUUACCAAGGCAACGAUGCGUAGCCGACCUGAGAGGGGGAUCGGCCACACUGGAACUGAGACACGGUCCAGACUCCUACGGGAGGCAGCAGUAGGGAAUCUUCCGCAAUGGGCGAAAGCCUGACGGAGCAACGCCGCGUGAGUGAUGAAGGUCUUCGGAUCGUAAAACGCUGUUAUUAGGGAAGAACAAAUGUGUAAGUAACUAUGCACGUCUGGACGGUACCUAAUCAGAAAGCCACGGCUAACUACGU